GAACCUUUGGCGCAGUGGUAGCGCGUGUGAUUCCAGCACAGUCAGCUCUUCCUGUUGGAACAUCCACAAGGUCGUCCGUUCAAUCCGGGCAAGGUUCA